GGAAGACUUAAGAUGGCGGCGUUUGCACGGAGUGCAAUCACUGCGUCCUUACGGGGGUUGCAAGGCGUCCGAAGUAUGAGUCCACUAACAAAAGUCCAGAAACUCGCCAGUUAAUAGUAUUGUGUCUCUUCAAAAUAUCGGAGAAUAAUUUCUUUCUCGCUGAUCGCCUAACUUCUACUGACGAAGCUUGGAAGUUGCAGAAGCCAGACAUGAUGUAUUGAGUAAAAGGAACUUCGGUACACAGGCCUUUAGUGAUGUGGUGGUAAGAUGUAUGGUACUGGCUCCUGUAUCACCCAGCUCUGGAGUUGAAAGAGCUCUUCAUUCCUGAGUCUCCUGUACCACUGAGAAUAGUUUCUUCAAAGGAAAGAAGCAACUGGAACACACAUAUAACACUAACCCUUCCAGCUGCAUUAUGAGGGACCAGUACCUGUCUCAAGGCAAAAUUAUGACUUAGUUCAUCCUCACCUCUGGAGGCCAGUAAAAGUGGGUUAUAGAAGAACAAAGAGGCAUCUAGAUCUUUCACUGGGUUAUUUGGAGAGAAACAUCUCCUACCGAAGGCCAGUUUAACAAGACUGGUAGAGGAGGUUAUCUUAUCUAAUUCACAGAAAUCAACACAUUGAGUCAAGAAAAAUGAAACACAGAAACACUCUAAAUAAAAGAAGAUAAGUCUUCAGAAACCAACCCUAAUGAAAUGAAGAUAUGUGAUUAACCUGACAGGAAAUUAAAAAGAGCAACCAUAAAGAGUCUCAUGGGAGCAAUGCAUGAACAAACUGAGAAUUUUCAUAAAGAAAUAAAAGAUAACAAAAAGUAUAAAGUUGAAGAAUACAAUAACUGGACUCAAAAAUUUAAUGUGUCCAACAGAAGAAUCGAUGAAGCAGAAGAAAGGGCUAUCAAACUUGUAGAUAGGCCAUUGGAAAUCAUGUAAUGUGAGGAGAAAAAAGAAAAAAGAUUGAAGAUAGUUUAAGAGACUUUUGAGACAUCCUCAAAGGGGAAUAAUUUAUACAUUACCAGAUGGAGAAGAUAGAGGGAAAAGGACAGAAAACAUAUUUGAAGAAAUAAUGUCAGAAAACCUCAUAAUUCUGGCAAGGAAAUAGAAAUUUAGAUCUAAGAAUCUCGAACAUCAGGUAUGAUGAAUCCAAGGAGACUCACACCAAACCAUAUUGUAAUUAAAUAAAGGUUAAAGACAAUCUUCAGAGCAGCAAGGGAAUAGUCUCUUCUUACAUACAAAAUGAUCCACGGAAGACUGUCAGCAGACUUCACCAGAAAACUUUCACGCCAGAAGGCAGUCGUGAUAUAUACAAAAAGCUGAAAGGAAAACACUGCCAUCCAGGAAUACUAUCUCCAACUAUCCUGUGUUUCAAAAAUUAAGGAGAAAUAUAAAGUUCUCAAACAAAAGAUGUGGGAGUUUACCACCACUAGACCUGCACGGGAAGAAUUGCUAAAGGGAGUCCUUCAAGCUGUAGUAAAAGAGUGCUAAUUAGAAACAUGAAAA
rnacentral:lncRNA from 1 species